CUCUUCAUUGGAAGCUCACGUUGAUAUCUGUGUGGCUCCUGGCAACACUGGUGGUAACCAGGAGCUACGCCGGUAACCUGAUGUCUAUGAUGGCUGUAAGGAUUAUUCCAGAUCCUUUCCAAACCCUCAGGGAUGUCUUAGAUCAUCACUCGGUGGUCACCGUAUGGAGAAAGUAUUCAGCGAAUCACCAAUAUAUCACUUCAGCUGAAUCUGGUGUUUUCCGAGAAGUCGCAGAUUUAGAAAACCAAGGUCGGCUUGAAUUUCAUCUUGCAGACCAGUUUAUGCAAACCCUCGAUAAUCUCGUUCGACCAGGACACCACGUCUUCAUUGAUCCAGGAAUUACAGUUAAGAACCUCAUUGUGCAACAUUUUGCUCAAAAAGGCACGUGUGAUUUCUUCAUUUCAAAAGAGGGGUUUCUUCCUUUUUCGUCUGCACUCAUCACUCAGAAGGGCAGUCCUCUGCAUGGAAGCAUUAGUAUGAGGGCGAUGUCACUGAUGGAGUCUGGUCUAUUCAGAUACUGGUUCGAGACAAGUGUGCCUAACUCAACAUCAUGCAAAAAUCCACCUCGCAGAUACCUGGAAAACUCAGCAAUAUCCCUCGCAAAUAUAUGGGUAUCUCUUCCUUUACUUCAUU